UACGUAGGGGGCGAGCGUUGUCCGAAUUUAUUGGGCGUAAAGCGCGUGUAGGCGGCUCUUUAAGUCAGAUGUGAAAUCCUGCGGCUCAACCGCAGAACUGCAUUUGAUACUGGAGAGCUUGAGUGUGGGAGAGGAAAGUGGAAUUCCUGGUGUAGCGGUGAAAUGCGUAGAUAUCAGGAGGAACACCCGUGGCGAAGGCGGCUUUCUGGCCCACCACUGACGCUGAGACGCGAAAGCUAGGGGAGCGAACGGG
rnacentral:rRNA from 1 species